CGCCUGGAACGGUGAGUGGAUGAAAGCUCCGGCGGCAUAGGAUGGGCCUGCGGCGUAUCAGGUUGUAGGGGGUGUAAUGUACCCUCUAGCCCUCUACGCGUACGGGUGUUGGGAGACAUAGCCCGGAGAUGGAUUCUGAGACACGAAUCCAGACCCUACGGGGUGCAGCAGGCGCGAAAACUUGGCAAUGCGAGAAAUCGUGACCAGGGAACUCCAAGUGCAUCGGGUAAGACCGGUGCUUUUCUUGACUCUAAAUAGGUCUUGGAAUAAGGGGUGGGUAAGGACGGUGCCAGCCGCCGCGGUAAUACCGGCGCCUCAAGUGGUAGUCGCUUUUAUUGGGCCUAAAACGUCCGUAGCCGGUCUGAUACAUUCGUGGGUAAAUCAACCAGCUCAACUGGUUGAAUUCUGCGAGGACGGUCAGACUUGGGACCGGGAGAGGUGUGGGGUACGCUCAGGGUAGGGGUAAAAUCCUGUCAUCCUGAGCGGACCACCUGUUGCGAAGGCGCCACACUAGAACGGAUCCGACGGUCAGGGACGAAGCCUAGGGGCACGAACCGGAUUAGAUACCCGGGUAGUCCUAGGUGUAAACGCUGUGGACUUGAUGUUGGGGGUGCUCCGAGCACUCUCAGUGUCGAAGCGAAGGUGAUAAGUCCACUGCCUGGGAAGUACGGUCGCAAGGCUGAAACUUAAAGGAAUUGGCGGGGGAGCACCGCAACCUGAGGAUUGUGCGGUUUAAUUGGACUCAACGCCGGAA
rnacentral:rRNA from 1 species